rnacentral:SRP_RNA from 11 species
GAAUGCAGCAGCGCCUCGCGGUUUGCGGUGUGGGCCCGAGAGUGGUC